UUAAUUUUUUCUUAGUCGUGAUUAGUGAUAAAAAUCAAAAAUAAAAAAAGUUGACAGAAAGUGUAUUAAAAGUGCAUUAUGUGUUGCAACAAAAGUAUAUAUACGUAGAUAAGUAUAUAUAUAUACCUAAAUAAAACCAGGAGAUGUGGUCUGAUGCAGAGCUUAUGCCAUGUUUACAUAAGGCAAACAACAAAAAAACUGGUCGUAUAAACAGGCGCUGCGCGAAGUGAUCUUGGACCGCGUGGGACGUCGCCGAUACCAUCUUCAUUACAUUUUUAAACUCUUGUAACAAAAACUAAAUCUCUUCGUAGGCCUACAUAACAAUUGUUAUAUUUAUUAUUAUUACUAAAAAUUACUACAAAUUCGUAAUUCUUUUCAAAAAUCUAUCCUCAUACAAUCUUAUACCAUCAUUGUUAAUAUAAUUCAAAUAUACUAAUAUAACUGUAUUAUAUAUUAAAUUAUAUCUAUAUCUAAUAAAUACCAAACAACCAUUACAAAGCCUUUACAUCAGAAAUGGACAACUACUAUACCGAUGAGGAACUACAAAUCGCAUAUCAAUCAGCCAUGGCUGACAUUCUCUUUGAAAAGCCACAAAUCCACACCAAUCAUGCUCUAACCAACACUACAACACAUCACUGUCAUACCACACAUAUAUUAUCCAAAAGUACUACCUCAUCUCAUAUACCAUAACAUGGGCAUAAUCUUCAUCAAUUUGCUUCAUCACCAAUAUUAAAUAUAACAAAUAUUGCCUCAAAUAUACCAAAAACCAUCAACAACAGAUCCAACAGUCCAUCUAAUACAAAUCCGACUACUACCACCACUACUAUAUUCACCACAGCACCAAUCACAGUAUCAUCCUUCAACAACUCAACACCACCUGUUCCAUCACAAUUAUUACAACCUAUAACUACAUCAAACGGUAAAUCAUCUCAAACUUCUUAUUCUUAGUAAUUUAUAAAUUCUUAUAUUAUUUCCUCUUCAUUUUACAUAAUUUUAUCAACUUACUAUCCAUUACAUCUCUCACAAUUUUCAUAAUUUUAUACAAUUUUACAUUAUUUUAUAUCUACUAUAUUUUAUAUUAUUAACUAAAUCAAUGUCAAAAACAUACCUGAAACACCAU